AUCCAGAUGACGAGUCCUAAAUAGGACGAAGUGGCAGGGGUCCUGGAU
rnacentral:hammerhead_ribozyme from 1 species